rnacentral:rRNA from 1 species
ACGUAAUAGAUACCCAGGUAGUCCACGCCCUAAACGAUGUCUACUAGUUGUUGGUGGAGUAAAAUCCAUGAGUAAACGCAGCUAAACGCGUGAAGUAGACCGCCUGGGGAGUACGGUCGCAAGAUUAAAAACUCAAAGGAAUUGACGGGGGCCCGCACAAGCGGUGGAUUAUGUGGAUUAAAUUCGAUGCAACGCGAAAAACCUUACCUGGCCUUGACAUGCCACUAACGAAGCAGAGAUGCAUUAGGUGCCCGUAAGGGAAAGUGGACACAGGUGCUGCAUGGCUGUCGUCAGCUCGUGUCGUGAGAUGUUGGGUUAAGUCCCGCAACGAGCGCAACCCUUGCCAUUAAUUGCCAUCAUUUAGUUGGGCACUUUAAUGGGACUGCCGGUGACAAACCGGAGGAAGGUGGGGAUGACGUCAAGUCCUCAUGGCCCUUAUGGCCAGGGCUUCACACGUAAUACAAUGGUCGGUACAGAGAGUUGCCAACCCGCGAGGGGAGCUAAUCUCAGAAAGCCGAUCGUAGUCCGGAUUGUUCUCUGC